rnacentral:rRNA from 1 species
GAUGAACGCUAGCGGCAGGCCUAAUACAUGCAAGUCGAACGGGAUCCAGAUCAAAGCUUGCUUUGGUUUGGUGAGAGUGGCGCACGGGUGCGUAACGCGUGAGCAACCUACCCUUGUCAGGGGGAUAGCCCGGCGAAAGGCGGAUUAAUACCGCAUGACAUCAUUGAGAGGCAUCUUUCGAUGAUCAAAGAUUUAUCGGACAAGGAUGGGCUCGCGUGACAUUAGCUAGUUGGUAAGGUAACGGCUUACCAAGGCUACGAUGUCUAGGGGCUCUGAGAGGAGAAUCCCCCACACUGGUACUGAGACACGGACCAGACUCCUACGGGAGGCAGCAGUAAGGAAUAUUGGUCAAUGGACGGAAGUCUGAACCAGCCAUGCCGCGUGCAGGAAGACGGCACUAUGGGUUGUAAACUGCUUUUAUACGGGAACAAACGUCGGUACGUGUACCGGUCUGAGUGUACCGUAAGAAUAAGGAUCGGCUAACUCCGUG